rnacentral:rRNA from 1 species
UACGGAGGGUGCGAGCGUUGUCCGGAAUCAUUGGGCGUAAAGGGCGCGUAGGUGGCCCGGUCAGUCCGUGGUGAAAGCGCGGGGCUCAACCCCGCGUCGGCCAUGGAUACUGCUGGGCUUGAGCACUGUAGAGGCAGGCGGAAUUCCGGGUGUAGCGGUGGAAUGCGUAGAGAUCCGGAAGAACACCGGUGGCGAAGGCGGGUCUCUGGGCCGAUACUGACGCUGAGGAGCGAAAGCGUGGGGAGCGAACAGG